GAUGAACGCUGGCGGCGUGCCUAAUACAUGCAAGUCGAGCGAACGGACGAGAAGCUGGCUUCUCUGAUGUUAGCGGCGGACGGGUGAUUAACACGUGGAUAACCUACCUAUAAGACUGGGAUAACUUCGGGAAACCGGAUCUAAUACCGGAUGAUAUUUUGAACCUCAUGGUUCAAAAGUUAAAGACGGUCUUGCUGUCACUUAUAGAUGGAUCCGCGCUGCAUUAGCUAGUUGGUAAGGUAACGGCUUACCAAGGCAACGAUGCAUAGCCGACCUGAGAGGGUGAUCGGCCAGACUGGAAGUGAGACACGGUCCAGACUCCUACGGGAGGAAGCAGUAGGGAAUCUUACGCAAUGGGCGAAAGCCUGACGGAGCAAAGCCGCGUGAGUGAUGAAGGUCUUCGGAUCGUAAAACUCUGUUAGUAGGGAAGAACAUAUGUGUAAGUAACUGUGAACAUAUUGACGGUACCUAAUCAGAAAGCCACGGCUAACUACGUG
rnacentral:rRNA from 1 species